CCGCUUGCUGAGGACUGAUAUAAUGAACAUGGGUAUCAAUAGCUCCUGCCGUCAAAAUUCGUCCCUCCCCAGAAACAACCUCAGUAAUCGUGCCAAUAAUAAGAGUAGGAGAAACUCCAGGUUGAAUAUGAGGGUUCCCCGCUUUACCAAUGCCUUUUAUUUUUCCAUUUUUAAUUCCUAUAUCAGCUUUAUAUAUGCCCUUGUAAUCAAUAAUCAAAGCAUUGGUUAUCACCAUAUCCAAUACUUCCUCAUCACAAAAACCCGAUGCUUGUCCCAUACCAUCACGA
rnacentral:sRNA from 1 species